rnacentral:rRNA from 1 species
GAUCAUGGCUCAGGAUGAACGCUGGCGGCGUGCCUAAUACAUGCAAGUCGUACGAGGGAAGUCCAGCUUGCUGGACGGAACGAGUGGCGAACGGGUGAGUAAUACGUAAGCAACCUGCCUGCAAGGACUGGGAUAACACCUGGAAACGGGCGCUAAUACCGGAUAGGUAACAAAGGGGCAUCCCUAUGUUAUUAAAGGUUAGAAACACAAGCAGAUGGGCUUACGGUGCAUUAGCUAGUUGGUGAGGUAACGGCCCACCAAGGCGAUGAUGCAUAGCCGGCCUGAGAGGGUGAACGGCCACAUUGGGACUGAGACACGGCCCAGACUCCUACGGGAGGCAGCAGUAGGGAAUUUUCGGCAAUGGACGAAAGUCUGACCGAGCAACGCCGCGUGAGUGAAGAAGGUUUUCGGAUUGUAAAGCUCUGUUGUAAGGGAAGAACAGCACGGAAAGAAUCCGUGAAUGACGGUACCUUACCAGAAAGCCACGGCUAACUACGUGCCAGCCGCUGC